GAACGCGAAGAACCUUACCUGGUCUUGACAUGUACGGAAUCCUCCAGAGACGGAGGAGUGCCUUCGGGAGCCGUAACACAGGUGCUGCAUGGCUGUCGUCAGCUCGUGUCGUGAGAUGUUGGGUUAAGUCCCGCAACGAGCGCAACCCUUGUCAUUAGUUGCCAUCAUUAAGUUGGGCACUCUAAUGAGACUGCCGGUGACAAGCCGGAGGAAGGUGGGGAUGGCGUCAAGUCCUCAUGGCCCUUAUGACCAGGGCUUCACACGUCAUACAAUGGUCGGUACAGAGGGUAGCCAAGCCGCGAGGUGGAGCCAAUCUCACAAAACCGAUCGUAGUCCGGAUUGCACUCUGCAACUCGAGUGCAUGAAGUCGGAAUCGCUAGUAAUCGCAGGUCAGCAUACUGCGGUGAAUACGUUCCCGGGUCUUGUACACACC
rnacentral:rRNA from 1 species